CUUCCUCUGGGGACAUUCUCCCUCCUGCAUGAAGACACCACCGCCCAAUAACGUGAGCCUCCCUCUUCGUAGCCCUGGCAGUGUGGAACCCGCUGAAAGCGCGUUGUGAGGAUGAGCAGAGACCUGCCAGCAGCUAAAAUUUCGCGCUUCAGCACAAUCAGCCCUGGCAGAGCAUGUGCAGUUUCUCCUCCUUCGGUAGUGGGGGCUGAUGGGCAGAUGCUGCCCACAUGCUCAUUCAUCAGAAGAGGCUUUCGCUCCCGGACUCCCCUGGGCCUCGAGCAGAAAGCGUCUCUGCCACGGAGAUACAGAGCGCGGAGCCUUCAGGGUCCUCCGCCGCUCUCAGCAAGCCCUGCUCUCGAUGGAGAGGCCAUCUCUGGUGAUGGAUGUGGGCUCCCAGGGAAGGUGCUCACGCCGGUCCCGCGCCCUCGGGGGAAGAGAUCCGAGAGCAGAGCGUCAGCGCAGGGCACGCCAGGCCCGGGGGCCGCGGGAGCAGGCGCCGCGCGUCUCUGCACCACCGCGCCGCCUCCCAGCCCUCUUUCCCCAGUUCGCCCUCCUGCCGCAGUCCGGGCCCAGAUUAAUUCUCUGCACUUGUCAGUGGGCACACACAAGUUCUCCGGGCACGAUCCUUCCAUCCGUUUCCCCGGAGGGAGUCCACCUUUUUAACGAUUAACCUCCCAGCUACCGCGGGCAAGGUGGCAGGAUGCGAGUGGGGCGGGGAGGGGCGCUUCGCACAUUCAGAGGCACCAGAAUUAGCUGCCGGUGCUCAAAUGGCUUGCUUUCUUCGGUUUUUGACAAACCUGGGUGGGAUGCUUUCUUGGCCGCCUGCCGCCCGGCCUGAGCCCCGGGCUCACUUCGCAGCCUGACGCCGAGUUUGAAACCGCAGUCCUGCUCUGCUGACACCCGGGCUUCUCGCCCCCUUGCCGAAGUCUGCGGCCCGAGGGAUGCAGGGCGCGGGCUUUCCCUGCUCGCUUUAACGCGGCUUGGGCUAAAGCCCCAGAGCUCCCACCUUCGCAGCUCCUGUUCCUCGGCCCGCCCCUCUACCUCCGCCAAAGGACGUGCCCCUUCAGUAGUGUCGGGGAUCCCAGCUCCAGCGCGGGGGAGGGCGCCUCCCUAUCCCCUCCUCCCCGUCCCCGCCUCGGCUCGGGGUUUUACUGCAGCAGCCGGAGGUGACAGCGACGCCUCAGCUGCCUCUGUUGCUCUCGCAGCCCCGGCUUCCCCUGCAUUGGGAAAGCGCCCCCUCCCGAGAGGCUGGUCCCAAGAGAAGUGCGAACGAGCUGCAGAAAACCAAAUUUUUAAACGUAGAAGUCGUUGAGCUGCAUUCCUCUGAGGACCAGUCUGAUCGCCCAGGACUGAGAGUGGCAGCGUCUGAGAAGUUGGGACCAUAGAGCAAGGGGGGAGGGGAGCGCUGCAGUGGGCAUUCUCUUUUGGAAGGAGUCGCUGGGAGCAGCGCGGUUGGACACAAGUUUGCGUAGGAGUGUUUUCCUUUUGUCAAUAAUUAAUCAAGGGAAUCAGCCUGGUAGAAUUGGAGUUUUAGCAAUAGUCCAGAGGGCGGGGCCGAACACCUAACUCGGGGAGGCUCCCAGGCGCCCGGCGCAGUGGGAAGCUCGCAGCAGCUGGGGAGGAGCCAAAGCCUCGGCGCUCACCUAAGCCGCAGGGAGAUACACCCAACCGGGAGAUGAGGAAAUAGCAACCCAGAGAGGAGAAGUAACCCAUACAGAAUCAUUUCAUGAAGGAGCAAGGCUGAAGACCCAGACCUAGACUUUAUCA